GUGCUCACUUCGGCAGCACAUUUACUAAAAUUGGAACAAUACAGGGAAGAUUAGCAUUUUAUGCAAGGAUGACAUGCAAAUUCAUGAAGCAUUCCAUAUUUUU